AGACCCGAAACCCGGUGAUCUAGCCAUGGGCAGGUUGAAGGUUGGGUAACACUAACUGGAGGACCGAACCGACUAAUGUUGAAAAAUUAGCGGAUGACCUGUGGCUGGGGGUGAAAGGCCAAUCAAACCGGGAGAUAGCUGGUUCUCCCCGAAAGCUAUUUAGGUAGCGCCUCGUGAAUUCAUCUCCGGGGGUAGAGCACUGUUUCGGCUAGGGGGCCAUCCCGGCUUACCAACCCGAUGCAAACUGCGAAUACCGGAGAAUGUUAUCACGGGAGACACACGGCGGGUGCUAACGUCCGUCGUGAAGAGGGAAACAACCCAGACCGCCAGCUAAGGUCCCAAAGUCAUGGUUAAGUGGGAAACGAUGUGGGAAGGCCCAGACAGCCAGGAUGUUGGCUUAGAAGCAGCCAUCAUUUAAAGAAAGCGUAAUAGCUCACUGGUCGAGUCGGCCUGCGCGGAAGAUGUAACGGGGCUAAACCAUGCACCGAAGCUGCGGCAGCGACACUAUGUGUUGUUGGGUAGGGGAGCGUUCUGUAAGCCUGUGAAGGUGUGUCGUGAGGCAUGCUGGAGGUAUCAGAAGUGCGAAUGCUGACAUAAGUAACGAUAAAGCGGGUGAAAAGCCCGCUCGCCGGAAGACCAAGGGUUCCUGUCCAACGUUAAUCGGGGCAGGGUGAGUCGACCCCUAAGGCGAGGCCGAAAGGCGUAGUCGAUGGGAAACGGGUUAAUAUUCCCGUACUUGGUGUUACUGCGAAGGGGGGACGGAGAAGGCUAUGUUGGCCGGGCGACGGUUGUCCCGGUUUAAGCGUGUAGGCUGGUUUUCCAGGCAAAUCCGGAAAAUCAAGGCUGAGGCGUGAUGACGAGGCACUACGGUGCUGAAGCAACAAAUGCCCUGCUUCCAGGAAAAGCCUCUAAGCAUCAGGUAACAUCAAAUCGUACCCCAAACCGACACAGGUGGUCAGGUAGAGAAUACCAAGGCGCUUGAGAGAACUCGGGUGAAGGAACUAGGCAAAAUGGUGCCGUAACUUCGGGAGAAGGCACGCUGACACGUAGGUGAAGUGAUUUACUCAUGGAGCUGAAGUCAGUCGAAGAUACCAGCUGGCUGCAACUGUUUAUUAAAAACACAGCACUGUGCAAACACGAAAGUGGACGUAUACGGUGUGACGCCUGCCCGGUGCCGGAAGGUUAAUUGAUGGGGUCAGCGCAAGCGAAGCUCCUGAUCGAAGCCCCGGUAAACGGCGGCCGUAACUAUAACGGUCCUAAGGUAGCGAAAUUCCUUGUCGGGUAAGUUCCGACCUGCACGAAUGGCGUAAUGAUGGCCAGGCUGUCUCCACCCGAGACUCAGUGAAAUUGAACUCGCUGUGAAGAUGCAGUGUACCCGCGGCAAGACGGAAAGACCCCGUGAACCUUUACUAUAGCUUGACACUGAACAUUGAGCCUUGAU
rnacentral:rRNA from 1 species